rnacentral:rRNA from 1 species
AUGAGAGGUACAGACAUUGGAUUUGGACAUGUCACAUUGGCUCUUUAUUGUGUUGCUAAGGGAUGGUUGGGUUUGCAUACAAUGCAGUAUGGAGCAACAAAUUGGUCUCAUUGCAAGGUCACUAUUGCAAGGUCACUACCUGGACGUAUAGGCAAGCAAUGUCAAGAGAGGUGGCAUAAUCAUCUGAAUCCAGACAUACAGAGAGAUGCUUGGACUACUGAGGAACAUGCACUAAAUAAUGCCCAUCGGAUAUAUGGGAAUAAAUGGGUAGAAAUAGCAAAAUUUCUUCCUAGAAGGUCAUCUUAUGGUACCGUGCAUCAGACUCAUAUGGUGCUUAUUACAUCACAGGUCAUCUUAAUCUUCUUUUGCUAUCCAUCGGCUUGUAACUCAUGA